AGUGAACGCUGGCGGUAGGCCUAACACAUGCAAGUCGAACGGCAGCACAGUAAGAGCUUGCUCUUACGGGUGGCGAGUGGCGGACGGGCGAGGAAUACAUCGGAAUCUACUUUUUCGUGGGGGAUAACGUAGGGAAACUUACGCUAAUACCGCAUACGACCUACGGGUGAAAGCAGGGGAUCUUCGGACCUUGCGCGAUUGAAUGAGCCGAUGUCGGAUUAGCUAGUUGGCGGGGUAAAGGCCCACCAAGGCGACGAUCCGUAGCUGGUCUGAGAGGAUGAUCAGCCACACUGGACUGAGACACGGUCCAGACUCCUACGGGAGGCAGCAGUGGGGAAUAUUGGACAAUGGGCGCAAGCCUGAUCCAGCCAUACCGCGUGGGUGAAGAAGGCCUUCGGGUUGUAAAGCCCUUUUGUUGGGAAAGAAAAGCAGCAGGUUAAUACCCCGCUGUUCUGACGGUACCCAAAGAAUAAGCACCGGCUAACUUCGUG
rnacentral:rRNA from 1 species